rnacentral:lncRNA from 1 species
CUAAAUAAUCCGUGGGGAUAAGGAAGCACCGUCCUUAAGGGGGAUCCAUGGUCCCAGUUCAUCAUCAGGGGACACCAAGGCAAGAACUCACGGCAGGAACCUGGAGGCAGAGACUGAAGUAGAAGCCAUGGAGGAACACUGCUUACUGACUUGCUGUCCACGGCUCAUCUAUGUUAUAUAGGCCAGGCUCACCUGCCUGGGAAUGGCACCGCUCAUAGUGGGCUGGACCCUCCUAUGCUAAUUAGCAAUCAAGAAAAUCGCCCCGGAUGUGCUUACAGUCCAUUCUAAGGGAACCAUUUCCUCAAAUGAAGUCCCCUCUUCCCAGGUGCCCAUAAAUGCAGUGCCUGCCAAGGACAGAAGAGGACGCCAUUUC